rnacentral:lncRNA from 1 species
GCGGCUCGUAGACGUUAAAGAGAUAGAAGAUCUUUCCACUUGCAAGGUGAGUCAGCUGAAGGGUGAGCGAAUGUUUUCGAAAAAUCACUUCGUUGCAAGAGAAAAUUUUCAAAGAUCAACAAGUGAUUAAGCCAGCAGAGGCCCCAGACACUAUCUCCUUCUGAUCUUUUUUCUUUCUUUGUUGUACCCUUGCUUUAAUUUCAUCCAUGUUAUGCCAAGGAAGCCUAAGCUGCUUUCAUCCUGUACGCUUAGUUCAUCUUUCUUAAUGAAUGAAGCAGGUAGAACGCUACUUUUUUUUCUCAA